UAUAUAGAUGGGAAAACUUCAAAUACCACCCUGUAGUUUCUUUCACUUUUCUAACUUUAAUACCCUGUGGUUUAAAAUGUACCAAUUUAGUGCCCUGCAGUUUUACUUUUACCUAUUCAUUAUCGAUUUUACUAAUUUUUUUUGUUAAAUCAAUGACAAAAUUAAAACUAAAGGGUACUAAAGUGAAUAUUUGAUAAACCUAGGUCGGGUAUCUGAAAUUUUUUGUAUAUAUAAUUUAACAAAAUAUUAACGAAAAAACUGCUGAAUAAAUAAAAAUAAAAGUAUAGAGCACUAACUUGAUACACUUUAAACCACACGGUACUAAAUGAGAAAUUGUAAAAUCAUGGGGGUGGUAUUUAAAAUUUACCCAAUAUAGAUAGAGGAGAAAGAGAAGGAAGAGAAUUUUCAUGGACCUAGUUCACCAUAUCAUCAUGAACCGUAAGAAAAAGUGCUAAGAUAAAUAAAGGGCUAAAUUAUUAUAAUAAAAAAACUCCAUUACACUUUAGCCCAUAUCAGUUACCUCCUGCAUUAAUUUAAAAUUAUAUUAAUAUAUUCAUAUACUUUAUCACCAUCUUAAAUAGAUUCAAAAAAUUAAAAAAAUUAAUAAAUUAUAUUAUAAAAUUUACUAAAAAUAAGUUAACAUAUCACUCUGUUUCACACCUCAAUAAAUAUCCAAUUUACUACUCACAAAAUAUUUAAAAAAUUAAGAUAAUAGGAUAUUCUAUUUAGUUAUUUUUAUUGAUAAUUUAUGGAGUAAUUUAUUUAAUUUGUAUGAGUCUAUUAUAUUAUUUAUAGAUGAUUUUACCUGUAAAUUAAUUUUUAUUAGAUUUUAUAGCUGAAUCGAAU
rnacentral:lncRNA from 1 species